GCAUUAAUGGGGUAGUGGUAACCUGGGUCGUUGCCAUGACUGGAAAUUCGACCCGCCGGGGGUUCGAUUCCCCCUUAAUGCA